UGGAUGUUCAUUAUGCAUGUUCUGCAGAGAUAAUCAGAAAAUGCUUUAUUCACAUCCAUAAAUUACAUGCUUUCUGAUGACUGUAAUGUGUGUAGUGCUCACUUACAGACAGAUACGAAGCAUACAAUA